rnacentral:lncRNA from 2 species
UUACAGUUCUUCCCCCAAAUUACAAGGAAUGGAGGCUGGGAAACUACAUUUCUGAGACUCCUUCAUCAUCAGGAUGCCAGAUAAUAUUUUAAGUUUUUAUUGCUGCUGCAGUCAAAAUGUGGACUUUGAUUGACAUUUUCCAGGAAGAGAAUUGUGAGAAGAAUAAUUGGAUAUUCUGUAACAUUGUUCUAAGAACUGUUAGCUCUGUUGCAUUUUCUUGGUUUGACAUUUUGCAAAAUCCUACUGUCUUCAUUUGCAAGGUAGAAUGGAAAGUUUAUGGAGACUUGGGCAACUUUCCUAUGAAAUCUGCCAAUUAAAUAAACAAUUGAGAUUGGAA